GGUGGUAUAGUGGUUAAACGUUUGGCUGCUAACCAAAAGACUGGCAGUUCGAAUCCACCAGCCA
rnacentral:tRNA from 1 species